AAGCGUGCGCAGGCGGUUAUACAAGACAGGCGUGAAAUCCCCGGGCUUAACCUGGGAAUGGCGCCUGUGACUGUAUAGCUAGAGUGUGUCAGGAGGGGGGUAGAAUUCCACGUGUAGCAGUGAAAUGCGUAGAUAUGUGGAGGAAUACCAAUGGCGAAGGCAGCCCCCUGGGAUAACACUGACGCUCAUGCACGAAAGCGUGGGGAGCAAACAGGAUUAGAUACCCGAGU
rnacentral:rRNA from 1 species